GCUGCAGUCGAGAUCUUUCGCAAUGGGCGAAAGCCUGACGAAGCGACGCCGUGUGAGCGAAGAAGGCCUUCGGGUUGUAAAGCUCUUUCGCUAGGGAACAAGAAAGUCCGACGAAUAAUCGGAUGAUUUGAUGGUACUUGGUAAAGAAGCACCGGCUAACUCC
rnacentral:rRNA from 1 species